rnacentral:rRNA from 1 species
UUCGUCCAAGUGAAGCAGAGGACAGUGGCGGACGGGUGAGUAACGCGUGAGGAACCUGCCUUUCAGAGGGGAACAACAGUUAGAAAUGACUGCUAAUACCGCAUAUACCUUAGAAUCACAUGGUUCAAAAGGGAAAGGAGCAAUCCGCUGAUAGAUGGGCUUGCGUCUGAUUAGAUAGUUGGUGGGGUAACGGCCUACCAAAGCGACGAUCAGUAGCCGACCUGAGAGGGUGACCGGCCACAUUGGGACUGAGACACGGCCCAGACUCC